rnacentral:rRNA from 1 species
UACGUAGGCAGCAAGCGUUGUUCGGAGUUACUGGGCGUAAAGAGUGCGUAGGCGGUCCUGUAAGUUUGGUGUGAAAUCUCCCGGCUCAACUGGGAGGGUGCGCCGAAGACUGCAGGGCUUGAGUAUGGGAGAGGUAAGCGGAAUUCCUGGUGUAGCGGUGAAAUGCGUAGAUAUCAGGAGGAACACCGAUGGCGAAGGCAGGUCUCUGGGCUGACACUGACGCUCAUGCACGAAAGCGUGGGGAGCAAACAGG